AGAGUUUGAUCAUGGCUCAGGAUGAACGCUAGCGAUAGGCUUAACACAUGCAAGUCGAGGGGCAGCAUUAUUUUAGCUUGCUAAGAUAGAUGGCGACCGGCGCACGGGUGCGUAACGCGUAUGCAACCUGCCUGUAAUUAGGGAAUAACCCGGUGAAAGUCGGACUAAUACCCUAUAUUCUUCUUUUUCCGCAUGGAGAAGGACGGAAAGAUUUAUUGAUUACAGAUGGGCAUGCGUCCCAUUAGCUAGUUGGUAAGGUAACGGCUUACCAAGGCAACGAUGGGUAGGGGGACUGAGAGGUUGACCCCCCACACUGGUACUGAGACACGGACCAGACUCCUACGGGAGGCAGCAGUGAGGAAUCUUCCACAAUGGGCGAAAGCCUGAUGGAGCAACGCCGCGUGCAGGACGAAGGCCUUCGGGUUGUAAACUGCUUUUAUAAGUGAGGAAUAUGACGGUAACUUAUGAAUAAGGAUCGGCUAACUACGUGCCAGCAGCCGCGGU
rnacentral:rRNA from 1 species